GUGCCAGCAGCCGCGGUAAUACGGAGGGUGCAAGCGUUAAUCGGAAUUACUGGGCGUAAAGGGCGCGUAGGCGGUGUGUCACGCCGGGUGUGAAAGCCCCGGGCUCAACCUGGGAAUGGCAUCCGGAACGGGCAGGCUAGAGUGCAGGAGAGGAAGGUAGAAUUCCCGGUGUAGCGGUGAAAUGCGUAGAGAUCGGGAGGAAUACCAGUGGCGAAGGCGGCCUUCUGGACUGACACUGACGCUGAGGUGCGAAAGCGUGGGUAGCAAACAGGAUUAGAAACCCUGGUAGUCC
rnacentral:rRNA from 1 species